AUUGAACGCUGGCGGCAGGUCUAACACAUGCAAGUCGAGCGAGCGGCGGACGGGUGAGUAAUGUAUGGGGACUGCCCGAUAGCGGGGGAUAACUACUGGAAACGGUAGCUAAUACCGCAUACUAUCGGAUAACCCAUAUGGGAUUAGCUAGUAGGUGAGGUAAUGGUGCACCUAGGCGACGAUCCAUAGCUGGCCUGAGAGGAUGAUCAGCCAACCUGGGACUGAGACACGGCCCAGACUCCUACGGAGGCAGCAGUGGGGAAUAUUGCACAAUGGGCGCAAGCCUGAUGCAGCAAUGCCGAUUGAAUGAAGAAGGCCCUAGGGUUGUAAAGUCCUUUCAUUCGUGAGGCGUUACCGAAAGAAGAAGCACCGGCUAACGCCGUGCCAGCAGCCGCGGUAAUUC
rnacentral:rRNA from 1 species